rnacentral:rRNA from 1 species
GGUAACCGGCGAACGGUGCGUAACACGUGAACAACCUGCCCUCGGUGUGGGGAGUAGCCGGGCUAACGCCCCGGGGUAAUACCGCAUACGUUCUCUUUGGGGAGUCCUGAGGAGAGGAAAGCUCUGGCGCACGGGAGGGGUUCGCGGCCUAUCAGCUAGUUGGGGGGGUAACGGCCCACCAAGGCGACGACGGGUAGCUGGUCUGAGAGGAUGGCCAGCCACAUUGGGACUGAGAGACGGCCCAG